UCGGUCUGUUUUGCCUCUCACCGCGAUCAUACUUCUCCUGACUAAGACACAGAUAAAUACAGAUGAGACCCAGAUGAAUUUAAUGACUUAAUACUGAAAAACAGCCUGAUUUAAAAGGCUGUGAGCAAACCCAAAGCAUGCAGCAGUCCAGACGGAAAAUGAAGAAAAUUUGUUCUGAUAAAGAAAAAAUAAAAUACAUCUCUGGACACAAAAUGUUAAAAGUAAUCCCAUCGUGGUCCGAAAUAAAUCACAUUAACUCAGCCGUGGUUUUAUUGUGUGCGCACAGAGAGUUGUAUUUUUCACAGUGCGAACCUCAUUUGGAAUUUUGGCAAUUCUGUGUUUUUUGCUUAUCUGAACACUCUAAACGAUUAUGAACAACAACAUAAGAAUAGUUCCGAACAAAUAAGCAUAUUCUAAAAUUCCGCUGAGGUAUACACUGAAAUAAAGCAGGUUUAAGUCCCGUUGCACCGUUUCUCCAGAGUAAAUCCUUGCCUAAAUAACAGCGCUUGGGAGACGGUGCAAAGUUUUCUGACUAACUGUAUUUUGUGAGUGAUUGCUGAAUAAACACUGGGUUCAUGUUUCGAUAUGACCGAGAGUCAUCAUUUGUUUUUAUCAUAGGCUGCACGGUCUCACAGAAAUGAGUUUGGCGCAAUCGUGCAAAGAGUCCGUUUCUAAACAUGUGCUGGACGCCUCCAAUACACAAAACCGCUCCCAGAGGACCGAUAAGUGCUCCGGGUUUUGUUCUUUCCAAUAGACAAUUUAGUAUCCAGUCUGCCUAAUGAAUCACUCUGUGCAACGAGAAGAAACGUGUCGCUUAUCACCCUGUUAUGAAGUGCAAAUAGACCAUCAUCGACUCCCAUUGCUUGGGGGUGGGGGGAGUUGGGUCGUGGGGGGCGUGAGUCUCCACACUCGAGUGGAAGUGGCUCCCACAAGCUACGUUAUGUGACACAUGCAUAAAAAUAACACCUUACGCUCACACCUUGGUUUGCACUUUUGGCACAAAACCACCAGAUUUGGCACCUUUUUACGCGAACUUUUAGUGUAAACACACAAAGUUAAGGGUCCCCGAGAGGCAUGUAGGUGGAGUAAGAGGGCUGUGGAGGACUUUAAAUCAAGUCAGAUAAAGAUUAAGGGCGCUGCUUUCUCUCAAGGGUUCGUUGAAAAUGGAUGUUAAGUUAGAAAUUAGACGCCAAAAUCGGAUCACUAUUUUUGAGCAUGUGACAUUGAAAGUUGCAAAUUAUUGAGGGGGCUCUGUCUGCAGGACAAAAUGUACUGAAAGAAAUGCAACGUUAUCAUAAUGUAGGGUCAUUAUGUAGAAUCAAUCUUUCCUUAUUCCUUACAGUUUAGCCAUAUAAUAAGCCUGACCUAUGCUGAAUUACUCCUCCAUGAGCUCUACUCCAGUAAUGUAAACUUGAACUGCCCAGCGUUUGUUCUGGACCCCGAGGGACCAUCUUUGGGGAGCUGCACUGUUGCUCAACCGUUCUGCUUUGUUUGAUGGGAACCUUUCCCAGAUCUAAAUAGGCUCUAAUAAAUUUCACUUGUUGUUGAUGUUGUGAAGCUCCACUCUGGUCACAGUGGGUUUUAGAAGACUGGAGGUUAAAGAGCUCUUGGCACCUGCAUCCUUGUGUGAGGGCCUUGAAACCUAACUGAGCCAUAAUGAAUGAGUUUUUUGUGGGUAUAGAUUGGUCCAGGUGGGCUUUCAAGAGAGCCAAAGGAAACAGUUUGGGGGUCUAAAAAGAGGACAGAGGGCCAGGACAAAUUUAAAUGGGUUUGGGUUGAGGUAUUCCAACUAUUUUCAUUUGUUUCUGUUAAGUCACUUAGGUCUGAGCUCCAAACACACUUGAAAAAAUACACGGUGCAGAGAGCCAGAGGAGCAGACGCUCACACACAUUCCUUACUGUACAUGAUCUGGAGACUCACACAUUUGCUCCAGCAGCAUCUAUGGUUUCAAAUGACUUGAAAGUUUGGCCCCUGGAGCCUGAGCUUGGUUUUAGUCUUGCAACAGAGACGGGAAAUCAAAGAAUAAAUCUCCCAUUCUAUGGUAAAAAUUUAGCAAACAAUUUUACAAGCAGAUAGACCAAGAAAGUAUACUGGCAUACACAGUGCAAACUGAGACUGUUCUGCCCUUUUUUGUGUGCCUGAUGGUGCAUUGUUUUCAGUGCAAGGGAGCCAAUCAUAUACCAGUCAGCUGCCCCAUGGCAUGAGUUGUGAUCCACCUAUAGCAUCCUGUCAUACAUCCUUUUAUACUGUAAAAUGAUGGCUACAAGCUGAUUCCCAAACUUUUAAAGGCUUUAUUUUCUUGAAUGCGCUUGUGUAAAAUAGGAGACAGCAUCCAAAAUUACACAGAAUGAGGACAAAAGACAAACCCAGAUUCACAGUAAUCAGCUGUAACAUUAUGUGCAAUCUAAUUAAAUCCAAAUACAACAGCUUUUCCAUUUAGGCUUCUCUAGUUCCAGCUUUUCUCGUCAUGCCAGAAAGGUGAUGAUAACUUUUUAAAAAUCAUGAUCCAAGUUAAAUUCUUUGGCCUUAACUUCUGUGUGUGGGAGUUCUCAAGGAAAAUUUAAUGCCCAAAUGUCAAAGCUCGCUCCUGAUUCAACACGUGCAGUCUGAGCUUGAUAAGGUGACCAUUUAGCAGGAGUGCAUGAAAAAACAAUUUUCACAUCUUAAUCAAACAGUGUUCUUACUUUGAGUCAGUAUAUUUACAUGUACAGUUAAAUCAAGCUACAGUCAAAGCACAAUUAGGGGGUUUACUGGACCACAGUCCUAAUCCAAGUUUACAAGCAUGGAGGCAAGAAUCAAAUUAUUAACAGAAGCUUGUCUGCCUCCACUACAGCGGGUGGCAACAUACCCCCUUUGACCUGUUGUGAAUCAAAACAGUCAGCAAAACCUGUUAGCAAGAGGCCAACGGGAUGUACCUUGAUUGAUGAAAACACCAUGACUUUUACAGCUCCAUACUGUUUGUUUGUAAAAAAUAUAUCUUUUCUUUGUCCUUUCUUUCCCUGUUGAGUUUGUAUAAUACCCAUCUUCUCAGCAAUGCUUUCAUGCUUUUGGCGCCCCUGUGGACAAUGUCUGCCCUGUUAGUCCAUUGCUAGUUGUCUCUGUUAGUCUCACCCUGCUUUCUUUUAAAUGGUGAAAUGUGUCACUCAGUGUAAAAGUUUGCUGAGCUGAGUACAAAAACUUUGUUGCCGAUUGUUUCGUCUGAGUCCAACCCCCCACUGUGAUUACAGACAGUACAAAUUUACAUAUAGAAAUGGACAAUAUUGUGGCUUAUGGUCCUGUUUCCUUUUAUAGGCUAUAUAAAAGCAUCUCUGUUUAAUUCAGCUUGUUGUAUAACUGACUAAAAUGUUCUUACAGUAGCUUUAGAUUUCUUAAAACCUAUGUCAGAGAUCUAAAUGCAAUUUACUUAUAGUUUUUAGCCCCCUAAACCAGACCUUUUCUCUGGGAAACUUCGGGUUAAAACAGUAUUAUUGAAGUUUUGGUUGCAAAUGAAUCAGACACAGCCUCAUUUCCAUAUCUUAAGCGUUAGUGAAUUGAUAGGGGCGUCAAUUUCCCUUUCCAUCACACACCCCAACCCCCACCCACCUUCACCCCA
rnacentral:lncRNA from 1 species